GGGCCUGUAGCUCAGCGGAUAGAGCGCGAGGUUCCUAACCUACCGUGGAAUAGAGCGGUAUCGGAAAUACCUCGAAGUCAAGGGUUCAAAUCCCUUCAGGUCCG
rnacentral:tRNA from 1 species